UACAUGGGGUGCAAACGUUGCUCGGAAUCAUUGGGCGUAAAGCGCGCGUAGGCGGUUACACAAGUUGGAUGUGAAAGCCCUCGGCUUAACUGAGGAAGUGCAUCCAAAACUGUGCAGCUAGAGUACUAAAGAGGGUCGCGGAAUUCCCGGUGUAGAGGUGAAAUUCGUAGAUAUCGGGAGGAACACCGGUGGCGAAGGCGGCGACCUGGGUAGAUACUGACGCUGAGGCGCGAAAAGCGUGGGGAGCGAACAGGA
rnacentral:rRNA from 1 species